rnacentral:lncRNA from 1 species
CGUGUAGUAAUAUGCCCUAACUUUUCUGUACGAAAGGAGACCGUAAAGACAGAGCAAACGAAACUUGAGGAUGAAGAUGAAGAUGUGUUGAUAAGAUCUGAUACGUAAAAUGCAUAAAACUUAAAUUUUCUCGGUAAAAAGUCACUUACUAUUAUUUCUCUUUCAAAACUGCCAUUAAGGAAACACGCAUUAAAAUACCCGUUUGGAAAAAAAAGGGGGGGGUCUCAACGGAAGAUUCCGUGGAACGUUCGGUCUGAUAUAUAUAUAUAUUUAGCCGUCAUGUUAAGAAUGUAAAUUAUUUGAAUUAAUAUGGGGAAGUUUGUUGAAAUGUUCGCGAUUAUGGCCAGAUAAUUGUUUUCCAUUGAUUUGUGACUAUAUAAUAAACUUUUGAGCUGCAAAAAAACCCAGUUUCCUUUAACGAAGCUAUCCAUUUGAUUUUUAUGGUGGGGGGGCUAGAAUAAAAUUAGAAAAAAUAGGCAGGACAGGAGUUUUGAGUAAAAAAAAGGCAGGAUGACACACUUGCAAAAAAAAAUAAGACAAUUUUGGUAAAAAAGUCAGGAUAAACUAAAAAAAAAAAAAGGCAGGACCAGAGACAUAUAAAGGAUACAAUGUAUUAUAUGUCUCUGGCAGGACCGAACACAGUGAAAAAUAAAAAAGCAGGACAGAGAUUACAGCUAAAAAAAGCAUGGGAUGGGAGGGGUUAGGUAAGUCCUGUAUUUUUAAAGUCCUGCCUUUUUUAUUUCUUAGCUUAUCCUGACUUUUUUACAAUAAUUGUCAUCCUGCCAUUUUUUUUAUUUUUUUUUGCCAAGUUACUCAUCCUGCCUUUUUUUUUUUACUCAAAAUCCUGUCCUGCCAUUUUUUUUCAAAUUUCAUCCUAGCCCCUAAUUAUGAUUGACUUAUUGCAACUGUAAAAGAGAGUACAAUAAAUUGAAAAAUAAAUUAAAAAAGGAUUUUUUUCAUUCCUUAAUAAAACAAAUAAAUGAGAUAAACCCAAAGAACACCAAAAAAUUUUGGGGAAGCAUUAAUAAUUACAAAAAAAAAGAAUAAUAAUUGUGAGCCUGCUAUUUCUGCCAAAGAAUGGGAGAUUCACUAUAGAAAUUUGCUUGCUUCAAGUAAUAAUGAUGAUACAACUGAUACAAAUCAAAAUAUAGAGAACAAAAAUCACAACUUUUCUAAUACAUCCCUUAAUGUCCCUAUUACACGUAAAGAAAUCAAAGACUGUAUUAAGAAGUUAAAAAAGGGAAAAUCUGGAGGUCCUGAUUUGAUAAUUAAUGAAUUUCUAAAGGUGUGGUCAAACACUCUAGUUUUACUUUUGACAAAACUUUUUAAUAAGAUACUUAACUCAGAAAAAUUCCCCAAAAUUUGGAACAUUUCUCUAUUGACAUCAAUUUAUAAAUCUGGUGACCCAUCUGAUUGUGGGAACUAUAGAGGUAUAAGCAUAACAAGCUAGCUGUCUUGGUAAAGUCUUUACAUCCAUUUUACAAAAACGACUUAGUGAUUUUCUUGAAACACAUAAUUUAUUAUUUUCAAAUCAAGGUGGUUUUAGAAAAAAAUUACAGAACUGUAGAUCAUGUCUUUAUUUUAAAAACAAUAAUAAACAAAUAUUUGUUUAAAUUUAAAAAGAAACUAUAUGUGUGUUUUGUAGAUUUUAAAAAGGCUUUUGACAGUGUCUGGAGAUCAGCUCUGUUCUUAAAAUUACAAAAUAAAGAAAUACAAGGCAAAUUUUAUAAUAUACUGCAUGACAUGUACUCUAAUACCUUAUAUUCAUGUAAAUAUCAAAAUAUGUUUACCAAGCCUUUUCUUGAUAAUCAGGGUGUCAAACAAGGUGACAGUUUAAGUCCAACUUUAUUUACUGUAAAUUCAGAAAUUAUUGGGAGGUUUUGAUUAUUGCGAAAAAUGCGACAGACUUGUAAACGCAAUAAUUUUAACUCGCAUUUUGAAAUCAUUGAUAUGAAUUAAACAGGAUUUUUCUCAAAAUCAUUAUAAUUAAAAUCGCAUUUAAGUCUAAAAUGACAAAAUCACAAUAAUAAAUGCACGCAAUAAUUUCUGAAUUUACAGUAAUAUAUUUGUUGAUGACAUAGAAAAAUACUUAGAUACAAACUUAACUAGUGCAGUAAAGGAGUAGGUUCAUUAAGACCCUUUUUUUGGCCCCAAAAUAUAGCAGUUUUAGAAAGUUGUGAAUAUGUAAUCGUUAAGAUAUUUAUCGAAAAGUAGAAUGCUUUUGCUACAUAAAUAUGGGCUGUUUUUGACAAUACAACGCACAUAAAUUGGGUACUAGCAUCAUCAAGUCAUGCUAAUUUUCUGAAAUCUUCACAAUUUGAUCAUUUAAGUUAAAUUUUAAACGGUUUCCGUCUUAAAUGGAAGUGGUCGCAUUCGUGUUCAUCCAUAAUAUUGAACUGUAAGUUGUAUUUGAUGAUAACACAUAUUAUAUAUAAAAGUUGAGGAUGAACACGGAUGCGGCCACUUUCAUUUUAGACAAAAACCAUCUGAAAAGUGACUAUUUUUGACAUAUUUGAUAGAUUUUUCAUAUUUAAGCUUGAAUUGGAGAUACUUAGUUAACUAUACUAAUGAACAAUUGAAAUAAACUUGAGUGUUUAAAAAGUGUUAACGUUAGAUGAAGAAAAUUUGAAAUCAGCCUUAAAUUUAAAUGGUCAAAAAGUGAACCAUUUAUUGUAUGCUGAUGAUUUAUUAUUGAUAUCGGAAUAUGCAGAUGGUCUCCAGAACUCUCUUGAUUCUUUACAAAAACAUAGUACUGAAUGGAAACUGGACUUGAACCUUAAGAAAACAAAAAUUAUAAUUUUCUCUAAAACUAAAAGUAAAUUAAAAAAACGUUUACUUUUAUUACAGUUCUAAUGCAAUUGAAAUUGUUGAUUGUUAUAAAUACUUAGGAGUUGAUUUUCAUAGCUCUGGAAAAUUUAUACAAGCAGUGUCAAGCCUCUCAGAUAAAGCUAAAACAGCAUAUUUUGCAUUGAAGUCAAAACUACCAUAUAGUGAAAAUUUGUCUGUUAAGACUUGGCUCCAGCUUUUUAAUUCAAUGAUAACUCCUAUUUUAACUUAUGGAUCAGAAGUAUGGUUAUCAGAAUUCAAACCAAAUUUUGAAGCAUUUAUAGACAAAAGUAAAUUAGACAAAACACAAAACUCCAUAUUUAAAAACAUACUUGUGGUUCAUGGAAAGUCUUCCAAUCUAGCAGUGCGAUGUGAAGUAGCAUUCAUCAAAAGUUCUGAAGGAAUCACAUAGUGCUUAACUUAAUUAAUUGAUUGACCAAUAGGGAUAUAUUAAAAUCGAUUGAGAUUAACAAAAUUGCAGCAAUUUGCAAACUACUUGAUUUAAGUUUUUUAUCCUACAUCGACUUUGAUGUCGUUAAAUGUUAUCAACUUAUGUAUAAAUAUUAUGAGCGUCUCAGUAAUAUUGGUGAACAGUCUGGUGGUCCGCAUGAAAUUUUCAAGGCUGCUUUUGAAGUGGACAAAACUCUCACAAAUAGAGAAAAUUCAUGGUCUUAUAAACUAUCUGAAUUAAUGAAAUAUAUUGCAAUACCAUUUAAAAAGCAUUGUAAUAGUAAUUUCAAACAGAAACUAGAAGAUUUCUACAAAAAUAAAAUUAUAUUUGAACUUUCUAAAAUAAAAGAUGGACACUGUGGUAAACUUUUAUUUUUUAGUAAAAUUUAAACAACAAGAAUAUUUAAAUUUUAAUAUUCCUAAAUACCUUUAACCCUUUCCUCCAUAAUGACGCCUUUUGACGCCACCCCCCUUACUCAAUAAUGACGCCUUUUGACGCCUUUGUAGUACCUCAGUUGAAACACUUUGACUACAAAGUGUCUGCAGUUGACUUAAUAAAAUUGGUAUCCAUUAUGAAAAGGAAUAUCAUAGGAAUAUAUAUAUAUCCGACUCAAAUUUAUUUGAUGAAAUAGUUGUUUUUCGCAAUGCCUUAAUACUUUAAAGCAUAUGUUCAGCAUUUUAUCAAAAAAAUCCUAUGCGAAUCAAGUAUGCAAAAAAAAAAAAUUCAAUGGAGGAAAGGGUUAAUUGAAAAAAACUCACUAAAUUAAGAAUAAUGCACACUCAUUAGCAAUAGAAAACUGGGAGGUAUGCAAGACCAAAAAUACCAUCUAAUGAGAGAUUUUGUAAAUUUUGCACAGGAAAAAUUGAAAAUGAGAUUCAUUUCUUGAUUGAAUGUCUGCAAUAUAACAAAAUUAGAUCUAAAUAUAAAAUUAAUGAUAUAAAUUUAAAUAAUUUGGAUGAAAAUUUUACCAAAAUGUUAAAUCCUAUGUCUGAAAAGGAAUUAAAAUCUAUUUGUAUGUAUAUUGAAGAAGCUCUUGAUUUGAGAGACCACCAUACCGUUUCAUCAGAUAAUAAUCCUUGACAGUAGUUUGUCCAUAUACAUAUAUAUAUAUAAAUAUCUUAUAUUGUGUGUUUUAAGUAAAUAUAUGAAAAUCUAGAAUAAUACUGAAAUAUAAGUCUAUGGUAUCAAUAUCAGUUUUAUAAUGUAUUUGUAUACAUAGAAUUGGCUUGACUUGUUCCAUGAAUCUUUAUUUCAUUUGUGUGUUGUUUUAAUAUUAUUAAUUAUCUGUAUUUGGAUCACGCCUCUAUUGAGCUCUUUCCAAUAAAAUAUUGAAUUGAAUUGAAUAAACAGGAAUCUCGGGAGGGGGCACUUCCUAUACAUAUAAGGUGUCAGCUGGGAACAGUAUAUUUAAUACAUGUACACAUGUUCCCAAUGCAUAGUCGGAUCCUUGCCCCCCCCCCCCUUUCGUGGGAAAAAAUUGGUUUAUCAGAGGCGGAUUUAUCAUUUAGGAGGGGGCCUUCCCCCCCCCUUUUUUUGGGAAAAAUUUGGUUGCUUAUAUAGGAAAUCACUGAAGCGUGACUGGAGCGGCCCCCUCUUAGGUCAGUCAGUGGGCCCCCACUUAUGAAAAUUUUUGGAUCCGCCACUGUUUAUAUAUAGGGAAUCAUUGAAGCAUGACUGUAGCUUAAAUUUCACAUUAUUAUACAGUUUUCCAUCAGAAGCUUUAUUUUGGCUAGCAUACCAAUUGCUAAUAUAUUUAGUGUGAAUUAAUUUGCUAGAUAUGUUCAAAAAUUUAUAUUGUCCGAAAUGUUUUACUUCUUGUUUAAUUUCAAAAACUUUUUCUACUAGCAAAUGAGAACUGGCAGAAGAAGUUAUGUUAGAUUUGUGAAGCUCUUGGCUGCAUUUAUAAGCAUCUUUCAAUAGACUGAAUUCAGUUGUAAGAUUUUCAAAUCUAUACCAGUAUUUUACAAUUGACUUUACAAUAUCAUAAUGUAAGGGGAAAAGACUGAAGUGGGGACCCCCUCUUAGGCAGUCUAUGGGCCCCCUCUUAUGAAAAUUUCUAGAUCCGCCAUUGUUUUCUAGUUUAAAAAUAUGUGAAUAGGUGUUGAAAAUAUUAAGAAAUAUAUUAAGUCAACAAAUUAAAAAGAAAAUGUGGUACACUGUAUGAUUGCCAAUGAGACAACUCACUAUUAUGUUUCUAGAUAGGCAGAAUCAGGGGGCCCGGUCUGACAACACCUUUUGUUAGAAAAAUUUAGUUGAUUGUAUAGGGAAUGACUCGAGUAGGGACCCCCUCUUAGGCAGUAAAAGGGCCCCCUCUUAUGAAAAUUUCUAGAUCCACCAUUGAUUUCUAGUUUAAAAAUAUGUGAAUAGGUGUUGAAAUAUUCAGAAUAUUAAGUCAACAAAUUAAAAGGAAAAUAUGGUAUACUGUAUGAUUGCCAAUGAGACAAAUCUAGUCUCUAGACAAUAGACACAAUUACAUUAGAAAUUAACAACUUUAGGUCACUGUAUGGCCUUCAACAAUGAUAAAACCAGAAACUACUAUAAGUUACAAUAAGGAGGCUCGAGGGUACAUGUAUAAAAAUUUAAGAGAAAAAUAAACAUUUAUUUUUUCAUUACAAAGGAGUAGAUUCAGUAAGACCCCUUUUUGGCCCCAAAAUAUAGCAGUUUUACAAAAUUGUGAAAAUGUAAUCCUUAAGCUAUUUAUUGGAAAGUAGCAUGCUUCUGCUAAAUAAAUAUAGGAUGUUUUUGACAAUACAAUGCAUAUAUCAGGUACUACAUGUAGCAUCAUUAAGUUAUGCUAAAUUACUGAAAUCUUCAAAAUUUUAGAUUUUUUGGUAAAUUUUAGACGGUUUCUGUCUUAAAUGAAAGUGUAAAUUUUCCCCUUACAUUAUGAUAUUGUAAUUAUUCGUGUUCAUUUAUAAUAUUGAAAUGUUAAUUAUACCCCAUGCAACGAGUUGCGGAGGGUAUAAUGUUUUUGACCUGUUCGUCCGUCCGUCAGUCCUGUUUCUUGUCAUCACAACUCCUUUCAAACCAUGCAUCAGAAUUUCAUGAAACCUUUUCAGAUAAUAAGGACAUACUAUGUAGUUCUGCAUAUCGACGGGAAAUUGUGAUUCAAUUUUUUUUCUAGGAGUUACGCCCCUUUGAACUUAUUUGCUUCAAUGUACUUCUGCAACAGUUUGUCAUCUCAACUCCUCUGAAACCACACAACAGAAUUUCAUGAAAUUUUGUAGAUAAUAAGGACAUACUAUUUAGAUGUGCAUAUUGGCAGGAAAUUAAUUUUUCUUAUACAAUUUUUUUUUCUUACACUAAUUUAAUUUCUCCAAUGACAAUGUGGGGACGUGGGGUAUGUGAGUGUGCUCACUAAGGUUCUUUAAUUGUAUUUAAUGAUAAUACAUAAUAUAUAUAUACAUGUAAAGGUUGAGGAUCACAGAUGCGGCCACUUUCAUUUUUUGACAAAAACCAUCAGAAAAGUGACAUUUUUUGGCAAAUUCAAUAGAUUUUUCAUACGAAAGCUUGAAUCUGAGCGUUUUUAAUGACUAAGUCAGUCAAAAUCUUUCACAUUAACUAAUUGAAUCAAUUGAAAUAGACAGUUAAGAGUUUAAAAAGUGUCCAAAAUCUUUCGUUAGAUGAAUUUGAAAUUUGAGGCCAAAAUCGGAACCUUUACCUACUUCCUUUUUUUUUCAACCUUUUUGUUACUACCUUAUCAUAUGGUACAAAAAUAAUUUAAAAAAAAUCAAUUUUUGAUGGCCUCAGAUGAAUUGUAAAAUGUAGAUAUCAUUAAAAUUGCUCAAAAUUAUCUCCCUUUGGUAUAAAAAUGCCAUUUUUGGAACUCAUCCGUGACCUUUAUUUUUUAUUAUUAUUUUCAAUUAAGCUGUUCUUAAACUAAACUAUUGUAAAAUUUGAGCGAUUUCUGUAAUUAAGUUCUCUUAUUUCGGUAUUACCUCUAUUUCUGCUAUUAGUUCAACAGAAAAAAGGUACCUUUACAAAAAUGUAUGCUUCUUUCGAAGGCAGGUUGUGAACGGUGACCCCAUUUUUUUUUUAUUAAGUAUAAGAUUUAAGUACGUUUAUCAUUUUUACAGAAACAAUUUUUCCUUGUAGAUGUUGCAGAUACAUUCAUACAAAUGAUGUUGAAGAAACAAAGAGAAAAGGAACUUGGACUGUACCAUUUUGUUUGCAGCUUCUAAGGUGAAGUAUACUUAUUUAAAUGUUUUGUAAAAAUAAGAAGAUGUGGUAUGAUUGUAAAUGAAACAACUCUCCAUGAGAGACCAGUGAGACAAAAAUUAACAACCAUAGGUAACUGUACAUCCUUCAACAAUGAGCUAUACAACGUCAAGGACUUGAAAUUACCAAUGAACAACUUAGGGCCUGAUUUAUUAACAAAACAUUGAACGAUAAACUGUUAUGAUAUACAGCAACAAACUACUGAAUUACAAGCUCCUGAAUUGAGACAGACACAUGGAGUUUGUAAAACAUUAAAAAUGGUUGCUGGCACGAAACCCUCCUUCUAACCUNNNNNNNNNNNNNNNNNNNNNNNNNUGGUGCAACAUUUCAACUAGCAACUAUAAAAAUCAUUUGAAAAGGGCUUAAUUUCAAGAUCAAUACAAAGCCAAGCACAAUAAAAAAUCCUAAAACAAAAACACAUGAAAACACAAUCUGGAAUUUAUAGCAGUUACUGAAAGCAUGUUCUUAAUAAAUGAAAUUUAUAUUCCUUGUCCUUACACAAUGGACUGAAUUUCUCUUAAGGGAUACCGUACAGUUUUGAUCCUGUAUUUACAAGUUCGUGAAAAUUUUGCAUAUAGGCUAUUUUCUUACUGAUUAAAUCAAAUAUAUGAUAAAAAAUAUUACCUUCAUGUGCUACUUUUUGAGAAAAAUGAGGUCGAAAUUUUGUAUAUUUGCUCAAAAUUCAGAUAUGUGCCGUAUUUUCUUUUUUCGAAAAAAGACAUAUUUUUUUUGUUAUAAAAAGAUAAACACAAAUUGUUUUUUGUUAAAGUCAUAUGAAACGAGUGAGUGGUGAAAAAUAAUGUUUGUCCAAUUCUUGAACCAAUGAUGUAUACAUUCAUAAACUUAGUCCUAUGUGCACGAUUUUAUCAUUAUUUUCGCAAUAUAUAUCAUAAAUCGCCAAUUUUUUUCCUCUCUGUUAUGAUUGGAACAAAUAGGUCUCAUUAAAUGCCAUGAUUUGAAGCCGAGUUAACCGAUUGUCACCUUAGUAAAACAAAUCACAAAAAGCAUGGGUAUUGAGCACGUGUUUAACAUGUAUAAUCAGAUAAUUGUUUAUUUCAAUGAAAGAUCCAUGCGAUUGUGGUCACCGGAUUUUUACGAGGAGGUUACGCUCGGUCACUAUGCAUACGGAAAAUAUGUCGGCAAAUUGCUUCUGGCAGCAAGCAAUUUAAAAUAAGUACUCUUCUUCUUAAAUGUUAGACAAAUUAAAAGAAUUUUUCAGAAAAAAGUAUAUAUGUACAUAAGUUGUUUAAUGAAAACUAACCAUUAGUUAUAAAAAAAAUAUGCAUUAUUUUUUUUUAAUUGAGGUUUCUAUUGACUUUAUAAUCGUAAUUUCUUUAUUUAUAAGUAUCCAUAAAAUUAUGCAUUUUUAUUCCGAAAAUAAUCGUAUUAUAAAUGUUCAUGAAUUGGGAAAAAUAUGUCAUUUUUGCUUUAUGUUUAUUAAAAUUAAAAAAAAUCCUAAAUUGUGUCACAUAUCUCCCUGCAAAUUGAAAGUCAAACAAAUUGCUGUAGUUUUGAAAAAAUGGGUUCCAAUGAACUCGUUUUCAAAUAAAUUCAGUUUGAAUGAUCAAAAUCAGUCAGAAAAAUGCAUUUUUCCCUGGUAUGUUAAAGUUUGGUGUCGCGAAAAAUAACAUUUGCAUUAGCAACGUCAUUACCUCCUCUGUAACUGUAUCGUAUGCCCUUAAAGCUAACCUAGACCUAUAAAUGAAUGAUUAUAGCCAUCACUUGAUGUCAUCUAAACAAAUAGCAUAUAGAUGGAGAGAAAUUUUAGUUUAAGUCGCAAAAAUGAUCAACAAGAAAAGAUCAUCAAUAAGUAUCAUGAAUGGUUGAAAUUGUCAGUCAAUUCCUAAUUAUUUAAUAAUUAGCCACAGAGUUUUUGUUAGGUCUAGUUUUAAUUAGGAUUUUAUUGUAGAUAAAGGAGAUAAAUUUCCUCUGUGACAAAAAUGUUUGAGAGUCGGAAAGUUUGACUGAAGAUUAAGGAUAUCAAAUGAGGUAAACUAAAUUUAAAGUAAUGUUUAUAUUUGAUUAAUCAUGUACCUCGAGUAUGCAUCAAAGAUUGUUUGGGUAGAUGUGAAUUAACUGUAUGUGAAACAAUCAAAAUUUGUUUAAAUGGCAGUCCAUGUAUAUUAAAACCAUACCAUCAACAUUUUAAAACACAACUAAAAAUGCAAAUCAUAAAAGACUGCAAAUGUUCAGUAGAAAUCUGUUGAAAGUAUGAACCAGUAUCCAUGGUAUCAGUUUAUUGAUGUCCAUGUCAUUCAAGUGGGUUUGUGUUCAUUUGGGCAAUAGGGGAACAAAAAUUUUUUUUUCCUAUUUACAUGUACCCCUUUAAUCGGAAACAAAAUUUUGGGGAAUUUAAAUUUUAAAUGAAUGCAUUAUGUUUCUAUACAAUGACUAAAAUCAUCAGAAAACAGUAAACCUCCCCAAAAUCUGCACAUUUAUAUUUUCUUGAAUUUACUUCUUUAUCGGAAGUGUUCUGUAGUACCAGAGUACCAGGAUGUCUUACCAGAAAGGCUAUUAAAACCUGUUUGAAAAAACAUAGUCAGCCGAGUCAAAAAGUUGAUAAUGUUGAAAUAGACUAUUAUUACCACGAUCAUCUUAUUGUCGAGCCUGCAAACGUUUUGGGCAGAAAGCUCAACAUAUAUAUAAUGUUCUGGGGGCCAGCAGAGGAGUUAGCUGAAUUCUUUAAAAGCUUUAUUAUUUAGAAGGAUGAAGACAUGAGAUGCUUCAUACUUGAAUAUUAUAGUGGACCAAGAUGCCAUCAGGUUACAAGUUUCUCUCAGUCACAUGCCAAUGCCUUGACCUAAUUCUUCAUAGGUUGAGUGUCUACUUGAAAAAAAGUUUGAGAUUUAAUACGCUGCAAAAAUUCAAAAUGUUGUCGAUAGUAUUGCGUAUAGAGUUGGCGUCGUGUUCGUUGUUCAUCCGAGACAUUUGGUUUUCCACAAUAACUUAGUAUAAGUAAAUAGAAACAGUGAAAUUUAAACACAAGUGUUAAGACCGAAAAGGAAGGUUGUCAUUGAUUUUGGAGUUGAAUGUCCAACAAGAUAGGGGCAUAAAGGGCCCAAUAAGCAUUUUCUUGGGUUUGCAAUAACUUAUAAGUUUAAGUAAAUAGAAAUCUAUGAAAUUUAUAACAACAAAGUUUAUGACCAAAUAAGGUAAAGGUUUGCUUUAUUAUUUGGGAUUCUGGUCCCAAACAGUUAAGAAUAAGGGCAAAGGGUCCAAAAUGUAAUUUGUUUGAUUUAUUCAUCAAAAAAUGGGAAUAUAUUUGGUUCUUUGUUAUAUGCUCAAAUCUUACCGUAUGAUAUUUUAGGGUGCAAUCAAACAGUUUUUUUCUAUUGACAUCAUAUUUUGAGGGACAUCUAUAAUGUGACCUUAGUGGUGUUAAUGUUAAUGAGUACUUGUAUAAAACUAGAUAUCAUAGAAUCAGAGUUUUCUUUUAGUUUAAUAAUGAAUUAAAAAAUAAAAUUUACUUUUACAUAGUACCAAAAGUUUAAUCCAAAGAGAAAAUGGGGAAAAACAUUUGCCUAAUCUAUGCAUAAAAAACAUGAAAUCAGGCCAUUGCCAACCCAUGCAACAGAUAACAUGCACAUUUUUCAUACUUCAAAACAGUAUGAAUUCAUAGGGUUUUACCUGGUCUUUUCUAAAAUUUAUAUGUUCAGGCUACGUUCGCCUGCUUUCGAAAAGAGAUACAGUGGGUGCAAAUAAGUUUUGCACUUUUCACUGACAAAAAAACAGGAUGUUUACAGUUUGUUCCCUUAAAACAUGUGUAUUUAAUCUAAUUUUUAAAAAUUAUUUUAAUCAUUCAACCUGUUUUAUGGAAGCUAUUAACUUCAAUUUUACAACUUAAAUAUAAAAAGCAUGAUACUUUUUUCCAAUUAUGUUGAUAAAAAGGGGACUUCCUCCAAGUCUAUUUUAGUUGGGGGAAUUACCCUAGUUUUUCUUAUACGAAACUGUGUUUAUUAGCACCCUUAAAUUUUUAAUUUUUGGUCCUGAUUGUUCAAAAUUGGUCUACAUUAAGUACAAAAUGGUCCAAAAUUUAAACUUAUGUUUGAUGUUAACAAAAGUUGAAUCUUGGACUUCUUUGAUGCUGAAUCUAAACUGUACUUAGAUUUUUGAUUAUGGACUGUCGGGCCAAAUUCAGCGUUCAAAUUAACACUUUUUUGAUUUCAACAAAAAUGGGGUUCUUUAAAUAUGCUGAAUCUAACCGUGUGAUUUAAUUUUUAUAUUUGGGUUCCCGGUUAUCAAAUUGAACCACAAUUGACAUGCUUGAGCUCUAAAGGGGUCUAAAUUCGCACAUUAUUUGAUUUCAUCAAAAAAUGAAUUUUGGGGUUCUAUGAUCUGAUGAUAUUGCUGAAUCUACCAUGUAUUUAUAUUUUGGAUUUUGACCACUAUAGGUUAAUGUCCAAUGAAAAAUUUUAUCAGUUUUUUUCUCGCCUUGACGGAAGUUAAAAAAAUGAGAAAUAGGUAUGGGUGUCCCCGCGCGGCAGCAUUCAACUAUGUAUUAGUUUGUUUAGGUCAAUUCUAUGGUAGAACCACUAGUGGCUAGAGUGAAUGUAUUUGUAUGAAGUUGUAUAAGCAUUGGCAUAUCUUUUUCAUGUAGAUUUUUUGGACUCCGCCUGUCCUUAGUCAUGAGUCUAUGAGACUUUAAUAAUUUUUGCUUAAGUUAAUAUGUAAUAGUUUGUAUAAGGGUGCAAGAUAUCAAGGGGAACCAUUAGUGUUUAAGGCCAAUGUUAAAUUGGUGUUCAGUAUUUUAUAACAUUAGCCAAUCUGAUUUCCAUGGAGACUAUUUGACCUGCCUCAGUCAUGCGUCUAUGACUUUGAAACUUUUUGCUUAGUUUACAUUAUUAGUUUGUGAUAUAUCAGUUUAAGUAUGAAAACUGCUAAUGUUAAGUCAUGAUAUUUGGUAAGCAUUUAUUGUCAUUUGAAGUGUAUGUUUUCAUGGAGAUUAUAUAGCCCCAUCCUGAUCAUGCUUCAUUGACUUUGAAACUUUUUACAUAGUUUUAAAAGUUAAUGUUGUGUUUAAAGGGAAUUACUUAUUAUGAUCAAAUGGAAAUUGGUUGCAGUUGUAUCUUAUAUUUAUCAUUGGCACAUCUCAUUCAUGGAGGAUUGUUUAGCCAUGUUCCUUCAGUCAUGUUCAUAGCUGAGACUUUGAAAUAUUUGCCUAACUUACAAUGUUAAAAUAUUGCUAUUUAAUUUCAACAUUGCUUUUCUAAAAUUACAUGAAUAUUUUGCUAACUUACAUGUUAAAAUAUUGGCUAUUUAAUUUCACAUCUCGCAUAAUCAAAAUUACUAAUGAAUAUUGCAAUAACUACAUGUUUCAAAUAUUGCUCAUUUAAUUUCAACAUAUUGCAUUAUCAAAUUACAAAAGCUAGUGCGGAAUCAGGGGGGGGAUUCCGGGUGCGGCACCCCCUUUAUUUUGCCGUCAAUGCUUUGAUAUCGGGACAUAUGUUUGCACCUCCUUUUGCCUGGGUGCCCUGGGUUAGCACCCCCCCUUCGAAAUUCCUGCAUCUGUCCCUGAGAAGGCGAUGCAUAUCUCUGUGAAACAGUUUUUUAAGUGUAGUUCUGUAGACCCACAUUUUCAUUUCUGUGUCAGAAACCUAUCCUUGUGUAACUAUUUAAUCCCAAAUCAAAUUCAGGAGCUGUAUACAAAGCUUAAUAGUUGUGUCAUACUUGCCCCAACUGUUCAGGGUUCGACCUAUGUGCGUCACUUUAAAGCCUCGUGCCCUGCGGCAGCAUCUGGUUUAGUUUAAAGUGAAAUCUCUCUCUUACUUAUAAGUAAUAGGAUAACAAUAUUUGGUAUCGUGAGUAAGCUGCAGAGUCCUCAUGGCUGUCAUACAGCUUUUCACUUGACCUCGGCCCUUCCUUUCAUGAUCAUGUGAACAAAGGUUAAGUUUGGUGGUCAAGUCCCAUAUCUCAGAUACUAAAAGCAAUAUGUCUAAGUAUAUUUUGGUGUAGGGAGGACUGUAAGGUGGACAUGUCCAACUGGCAGGGUCAUUGACCUUGACUAUCCAUGGUUCAAGUUGAUUCAUAGUUUGAGUUUUUGGUGGUUUUUUUCUGUUUUAUAUAUAUUUACUAUUUGCAAAAAGGUCUAAUUAUAUUUGGUGUAUGGAAAUAAAAACCAGAGUAUAUUGUUAGGUGUACCAUUCUAGCUGUUAUGUCGUCAUACUGCCCUUUGACCUAUUUUCCAUGGUCAUGGUCAACAGUUUUAAGUUUUUUGAUUUUUCGUCUUUUGUAUCUAAUACUAUAUUGCAUUAAGUCUACUGCUAUUAAUAAACUAUAUUAGGUGUAUGGAAUAUAUUGUUGUAUGUAAGAAAUUAUUAGCUGUAUAGAUGUGUUGCCUUGUAUGGUUUCAUUAUCACGGCUUGGCUGUCAACUUGGCCUGCAUUCUUCAUGGAUCUUAGUAGGUAAAUUUUAGUUUUUUUGGGUUAAUGUUAGGUUAUGUUUCAAUUGUAAUAAGCUUUAUUUUUAAGGACUACAAAGAAGGCGAGACAUUGUCAGAUGUGUUUUAUAUUAAACAUUAGAAAGGAAGCUCAGAUAUGUUAAUGCGCAAAUAAUAAAAUCCUUUAUUAAAUUAGAUCUGUAGAUACAGGAAAUGAAAAUAUUUUAAAUUUUUUAUUCUUAAAAAUGGUUAUGCUAUAUUAUUCAAGUUUCACUAAAUUCCAAGAAGGUUUCCACAAUAACAAUGACUGAUUUUCAAAAUGAUCAUCAUGUAAAAUUGAAAGAAUGUGCUAAGAUUGCCCAUGAAAACUCUAUCUUUAAUGAACAAUUGACGUUCGUGGUAUGGCUUUUCAGCUUUAGCAAAAUUAAUUACCAUAUAUAUUUAAUAAGUAUAAUAUAAAAGCCCCCCAUUGUAAAAUGUUAAACAAUUAAAAAGUAGAAAAACAGCGUCUCUGAUUUUUAUACAGUUCGAAGAAUCAAAAUUGAGUAAUAUUAUGGAUAUGAUGUGUUGUUAGCGACUGUAUGUCGACACAUAUGUAUAGUUUCGGAUAAUUAUAAGUUAAAAGCGAAUGGAUAUCCAUGAAAUUUUACACAAGGUUAAUACCAAAGGAAGGUUGGUGUUGCAUUUUUGGGGUGAUUUUUUACGAAAUUAGGGGGAAAAAGAAGAUUUUUGUAGUUCCAGAAAUUAACUUGUUGCUUGCCAGUGUACUAUUCUCUACGAAAUGUUCUUCAAGGUUCCAUAUCACAAAGGAGUAGACUGGAAAUUGUUUUAAAGGGGUUAAUUGCCUCAAAAUUUCAGGAAAUAGGGGGUCAAAACAAGCCGAUUUUUUCUAAUUCCAGACAAUAUUUUGUGUUAAGUGUAAUGGAUUUCUUUAAAAUUUACAUGCAAAAGUUACCGUACCACAAAAGGAAAGGCUGGGAUUAAGUUUUGGGGGUAAUGUACUGAAAGGGGGUUGAAAAAAAUUGGGGGAGGGAGAUUUUUUUCUCCUCAAAAAUUUUCAACAAACAUCCAAAUAAGACAGUCUAUCAAGCAUGAAUAUUGUAGUCCAAACAUGCACCAACUGGAUCAGUCACAAUACAAGGCUUCGCUGCACCAUUUUCAUUUUCUUAAUCAUAUUAAUCUACCAUUGUUAAAGUUAUGUACCAUUAUGAAGUACUAAAUUGUGGAUUUUGUGUAUUUCAGAUUAUUAUUGAAAAAGAGCACUUUAUGAAGUACUAGGAGAAUUU